CUGCCUACUUAUUGGUAUGAAUAUUAUCGUUACUAUUAUCGCCAUAUUGAUUUUUCCAGCAUUGCUAACUCAAUAAAGAAGCUUAAUGCAGGACCGAAAUGAAGUACUUUUCAGGAUUAAGAGAAGCACACAGUUAAAGAAGCUGAUAAAUGCUUACUGUGAGCGACAAUCGGUUGAUUUCAACUCAAUUGCCUUUCUGUUCGAUGGGCGACGCCUCCGUGCAGAGCAGACUCCUGAUUAGGUCUUCUUUCUCUCAAUUUCCUCCAACCCCUCUCUCUUUCACACCCCCCUCCCCAAAAAGAACCUCCUCCCCCAGCCCCCGGGUCUGUAUCUAAGACAAAUAGCUGAUAUAGGCUAUUCAUCAUUUAUAACAUCUAACCAUCUCAUGAUUACUAGCGACCGAUUCAUUGAGAUUUUAAUGGAUUCUUCUAAAUUCACUAAAAUAUAGGUGUCCUCAAUAGCUUGUGGAUUAUAAAGAUUUCAUUAAUGAAAGGAUUUCAAGAGAUUUGGAUGGAUUUCAAGCUUAGAAGUACACAUAACGAACUCUUUUGAAAUUUCACUAUUUUUAAUGAGAUUAUUGUGAAUUCUGUAAAAAUCGGUUCAAAUUCACAAAAUUCAUCACUAUUUACAAUUUUUUUUUAUUUAAAAUAUAUUAAAAUACUAAUUGAGGAAACCCAACUUAACUUUUGGAAAUUCUUUUAACAGCUUGAAAUGGAGGAUGGGGAUGAGAUAGAUGCUAUGCUGCAUCAGACUGGAGGUGCUGCUGCUGCUUAGUUAGGGUGAUUAAGUCUUUGUUAACGCCUUGGAGGAAGUUGUAAUACAAAAUUUCAUAAUCAUUCUAGCUUGCUGUUACUAUUGACAUGAUUUUGAACGUGUUCCAAGUACUUGAUCUACAACUAUAUUUAAGUUGCUUUGAUUUUCAUUUCCUUCCGAAAAAGUAUGUACUGUUUACUCUCUGAUUCUCGUGGUGAUAUUGGGACAUAAAAAAGAGGGAUGGAGUUUCUUUCUUGUUCCAUGUAAUGGUCUAUAUGGGAGGUUGCACGAAAUGCAAUUAAAAGCCCUUGUUUGAACCACAAUAUUUUCAUGAGUAUGCAUUUUUGAAGAAUGUAUUGAUGGAAAGUGUGUGGUUAAAAAAUAAGAAAAAAUGUUGAAUUUGCGUGUAAUAUUAUUUUAUUAUAGAAUGUGAUAUUGAAAUGAUAUCAAAUCACAAAAACGUAUUUUUUUUUAAAGAA
rnacentral:lncRNA from 1 species